AAAAACAUGGCUCUUUGGAAUCUUUAUAUGAAGAGUCGGGCCUGCCCAGUGAUAGUAUUUAACGGCCGCGGUACUCUGACCGUGCAAAGGUAGCAUAAUCAUUUGCCUUAUAAUUAAGGGCUUGUAUGAAUGGUCUGACAAGAGUAUUACUGUCUCUUUAAAAAUUUAUAAAAUUUGGUUUUUAGGUGAAGAAACCUAAAUAUAAUUGAAAGACAAGAAGACCCUAUCGAGCUUUAAAACAAUGAAUUAAAGAAUAUAAAUAUAAAAAUUAAUUUUAAUUUAAAAUUUUGGUUGGGGCGACUGAGGAACAUAUAAAGCUUCUUUUAUUAAAAAAUGCAUAUAAGCUAUGAUCCAAAGAAAUUUGAUUAAAAAAAUUAGUUACCGUAGGGAUAACAGCAUAAUCUUUUUUGAGAGCUCUUAUCGAAAAAAAGGUUUGUGACCUCGAUGUUGGACUAGGAUACCCUAAUAGAUGCAGAAGUCUUUAAAGGUUGGUCUGUUCGACCACUAAUAUCCUACGUGAU
rnacentral:rRNA from 1 species